rnacentral:rRNA from 1 species
UCCUCCCUCUUUCUUCGUGCUUAACACAUGCAAGUCGAACGGUGAAGGGGCCUGCUUUUGUGGGCCCUGGAUGAGUGGCGAACGGGUGAGUAACACGUGAGUAACCUUCCCCCUUCUUCUGGAUAACCGCAUGAAAGCGUGGCUCAUACGGGAUAUUCUGGUUCUGUCGCAUGAUGGGUCUGGGAAAGAUUGCGCCUUUGGGUGUUUUUGGUGGGGGAUGGGCUCGCGGCCUAUCAGCUUGUUGGUGGGGUGAUGGCCUACCAAGGCGGUGACGGGUAGCCGGCCUGAGAGGGUGGACGGUCACACUGGGACUGAGACACGGCCCAGACUCCUACGGGAGGCAGCAGUGGGGAAGAUUGCACAAUGGGCGCAAGCCUGAUGCAGCGACGCCGCGUGAGGGAGGGAGGCCUUCGGGUUGUAAACCUCUUUCGCCAGUGAAGCAGGCCUGCUCCGUGUGGGUGGGUUGACGGUAGCUGGAUAAGAAGCGCCGGCUAACUACGUG